rnacentral:rRNA from 1 species
GAGGAAUAUUGGUCAAUGGGGGCAACCCUGAACCAGCCAAGUCGCGUGAAGGAUGAAGGUCUUAUGGAUUGUAAACUUCUUUUAUACAGGAAUAAAUUGGGGGACGUGUCCCCUUUUGCAUGUACUGUAUGAAUAAGGAUCGGCUAACUCCGUGCCAGCAGCCGCGGUAAUACGGAGGAUCCGAGCGUUAUCCGGAUUUAUUGGGUUUAAAGGGUGCGCAGGCGGGAUGUUAAGUCGGCGGUGAAAUUUUGCAGCUCAACUGUAAAAGUGCCUUCGAUACUGGCUUCCUUGAGUGUGGAUGAAGUAGGCGGAAUUUGUGGUGUAGCGGUGAAAUGCUUAGAUAUCACGAGGAACUCCGAUUGCGCAGGCAGCUUACUAAGCCACAACUGACGCUCAUGCACGAAGGCGUGGGGAUCAAACA